GCCCGGUUAGUUCAGAUGGUAGAGCGCGGGACUUUUAAUCCUUAGGUCAAGGGUUCAAGUCCCUUAUCGGGCG
rnacentral:tRNA from 1 species